UACUCGAGUGGCGAACGGGUGAGUAACACGUGGGUGAUCUGCCCUGCACUUCGGGAUAAGCCUGGGAAACUGGGUCUAAUACCGGAUAGGAGCCAUUUUUAGUGUGAUGGUUGGAAAGUUUUUCGGUGUAGGAUGAGCUUGCGGCCUAUCAGCUUGUUGGUGGGGUAAUGGCCUACCAAGGCGGCGACGGGUAGCCGGCCUGAGAGGGUGGACGGCACAUUGGGACUGAGAUACGGCCCAG
rnacentral:rRNA from 1 species